UCCGAAUUGGUCCAAUGGUUAGGAUACUCCGCUUUCACAUCUUGAGAGCACCGGAGCGGCCGGGGUUCGAUUCCCCGAUUCGGAG
rfam:Serendipita vermifera MAFF 305830 unplaced genomic scaffold scaffold_117, whole genome shotgun sequence.